rnacentral:rRNA from 1 species
CAGCAGCCGCGGGAAUACGAAGGGGGCUAGCGUUGUUCGGAAUUACUGGGCGUAAAGCGCACGUAGGCGGAUCGAUCAGUCAGGGGUGAAAUCCCAGGGCUCAACCCUGGAACUGCCUUUGAUACUGUCGAUCUGGAGUAUGGAAGAGGUGAGUGGAAUUCCGAGUGUAGAGGUGAAAUUCGUAGAUAUUCGGAGGAACACCAGUGGCGAAGGCGGCUCACUGGUCCAUUACUGACGCUGAGGUGCGAAAGCGUGGGGAGCAAACAGGAUUAGAGACCCCAGUAGUCCCUGUCUCUUAUAA